AGAGUUUGAUCCUGGCUCAGAGCGAACAUUGGCGGCGCGUUUAACACAUGCAAGUCGAGCGAGAAAACUUCUUCGGAAGUGAGUAGAGCGGCGAACGGGUGAGUAACACGUGAGUGACCUGCCCCCAAGCUUGGGAUAGCCACGGGAAACUGUGGGUAAUACCGGAUGUGACUUUAUUAUUAGAAGAUGAAGUUGAAAGCGUGGGACCCUUCGGGGCCACGUACUUGGGGAUGGGCUCGCGUCCCAUUAGCUAGUUGGCGAGGUAACGGCUCACCAAGGCGACGAUGGGUAGGGGGUGUGAGAGCAUGACCCCCCACACUGGGAUUGAGAUACGGCCCAGACUCCUACGGGAGGCAGCAGUGGAGAAUCUUGCACAAUGGGGGCAACCCUGAUGCAGCGACGCCGCGUGGACGAAGAAGGCCCUCUGGGUUGUAAAGUCCUUUUCUGACGGAAGAAGUCAAUAUGUUCUAACAGGGCAUAUUGUUGACGGUACGUUAGGAAGAAGUCACGGCUAACUCCGUGCCAGCAGCCGCGGUAAUACGGAGGUGGCGAAUGUUGCUCGGAAUUACUGGGCGUAAAGGGCGCGCAGGCGGAUGAUCAAGUCAAGAGUGAAAUCUCCAUGCUUAACGUGGAGCUUGCUUUUGAAACUGGUUGUCUGGAGUCAUGUAGGGGAUGACGGAACACCUGGAGUAGCGGUGAAAUGCGUAGAUAUCAGGUGGAACACCGAUGGCGAAGGCUGUCAUCUGGACAAGGACUGACGCUGAGGCGCGAAAGCCGGGGGAGCAAACAGGAUUAGAUACCCUGGUAGUCCCGGCCCUAAACGAUGAGUGCUAGGUGUAUGCGCGCGAGCGUAUGUGCCGCAGUUAACGCAUUAAGCACUCCGCCUGGGGAGUACGGUCGCAAGGCUGAAACUCAAAGGAAUUGACGGGGGCCCGCACAAGCGGUGGAGCAUGUGGUUUAAUU
rnacentral:rRNA from 1 species